UGCUAUACUAUUAUGUUGGUGCAAAAGUAAUUGUGGUUUUUGCCAUUAAAAGUAUGGCCAAAAAAAAAAACUGCAGUUACUUUUGCACCAACCUGAUACCUCUUUAAUUUACCAGUAUUU
rnacentral:miRNA from 10 species